GACGGAGGGUGCGAGCGUUAUUCGGAAUCAUUGGGCGUAAAGAGCGUGUAGGCGGUCGGUUAAGUCAGGUGUGAAAGCCCGGGGCUCAACUCCGGAAGGGCACUUGAAACUGGUCGGCUUGAGUCCGGGAGAGGGAAGCGGAAUUCCUGGUGUAGAGGUGAAAUUCGUAGAUAUCAGGAGGAACACCGGUGGCGAAGGCGGCUUCCUGGACCGAGACUGACGCUGAGACGCGAAAGCGUGGGGAGCAAACAGG
rnacentral:rRNA from 1 species